rnacentral:rRNA from 1 species
UACGUAGGGUGCGAGCGUUAAUCGGAAUUACUGGGCGUAAAGCGUGCGUAGGCGGUUCGCUGUGUCCGAUGUGAAAGCCCCGGGCUUAACCUGGGAAUGGCAUUGGAAACUGGCGGGCUUGAGUGCGGCAGAGGGGGGUGGAAUUCCGCGUGUAGCAGUGAAAUGCGUAGAGAUGCGGAGGAACACCGAUGGCGAAGGCAGGUCUCUGGACAGUUCCUGACGCUGAAGCACGAAGGCCAGGGGAGCAAACGGG